GACGAACGCUGGCGGCGUGCUUAACACAUGCAAGUCGAACGGUAAGGCCCUUCGGGGUACACGAGUGGCGAACGGUGAGUAACACGUGGGUGAUCUGCCCUGCACUUCGGGAUAAGCCUGGGAAACUGGGUCUAAUACCGGAUAGGACUCCUGGCUUCAUGGUUGGGGGUGGAAAGCUUUUGCGGUGUGGGAUGGGCCCGCGGCCUAUCAGCUUGUUGGUGGGGUAAUGGCCUACCAAGGCGACGACGGGUAGCCGGCCUGAGAGGGUGACCGGUCACACUGGGACUGAGAUACGGCCCAGACUCCGACGGGAGGCAGCAGUGGGGAAUAUUGCACAAUGGGCGCAAGCCUGAUGCAGCGACGCCGCGUGAGGGAUGACGGCCUUCGGGUUGUAAACCUCUUUCAGCUAUGACGAAGCGCAAGUGACGGUAGUAGCAGAAGAAGGACCGGCCAACUACGUGCCAGCCGCCGCGGUAA
rnacentral:rRNA from 1 species